CCGGUUGGCUGGGUGCGUUGACUUCUGGGUGCGGGGUUACAAGGAUGCCCCAGCCCGGUUCAUGCAGCGGAUUAGGUUUCCCCGGAGAGGUGGAGGGCUACUCACCAGGAGAAGCCCAGAGAGAGGGGAAUUCCUGACGAACCACAGAUGAUCAAAGCUGGAUGAAAUGCUCAAUCAAAUUGGAGAAAAUCACAUUAGACUAUGAAAACUAUGAAAUUGAGAAGACCUAAUUAUUGUCACUGGGAAAUAUGAAAGUGGAUUAGCUAUGGAAAAAACUGAGCAAUUCAUUCACCACAAACAGAGAUGAUCUGCAUGGAUUAGUUUCAUGUCAAUUCAGCCCAUCCUUCAACAUCUGCAGAGAAAGGACAAAGGGAAUUUGGAGAAAAUGCAACUAAACUGAAUCCUGGUGCAUAGCAAUCAUGAGGCAAUGAGAAGGGUUUCAGUCCAUGGAACGUUCUAAAUCUGCCUGUGAGCCGGGGAACCGCUCACUCCAGCAGGUGAGCACCUGCACCACAGCCUGCAUGCCGCAGUGAGCCCAGAAGGCCAGAUCACUGUCUCCACAGUAUUCAGCCCAGUGCUCAGGACUUGGUCAGUGACUGACCGAUUCCUCAUUUUGAAUCCCGCUUCCUACUGAGAAGGCAAAUAUAUUCAUGAUGUUCUUCACUUAUUUCCACAAUGGCUGUAAUGUUGGCUAUAAAUAUGAA